UUGUCAGUAUGUUCUCCUCUCUUCAUUCUGUUUUCUGUUUGUCAGUAUGUUGUUCUCCUCUCUUCAUUCUGUUUGUCAGUAUGUUCUCCUCUCUUCAUUAUGUUUUCUGUUUGUCAUAUGUUGUUCUCUCUUCAUUCUGUUUGUCAGUAUGUUGUUCUCUCUUCAUUCUGUUUGUCAGUAUGUUGUUCUCUCUUCAUUCUGUUUUCUGUUUGUCAUAUGUUCUUCUCUCUUCAUUCUGUUUGUCAGUAUGUUGUUCUCUCUUCAUUCUGUUUGUCAGUAUGUUCUCCUCUCUUCAUUCUGUUUUCUGUUUGUCAGUAUGUUGUUCUCUCUUCAUUCUGUUUGUCAGUAUGUUGUUCUCUCUUCAUUCUGUUUGUCAGUAUGUUCUUCUCUCUUCAUU